rnacentral:ncRNA from 1 species
CUUGCGGAAUCCUGGGACUGAGGGAGCCCCAGUGCCACACCACUCAUGGGGGGCCCAAGUCCUGAUCGAGGCCCAGCCUGUGAAUCCUGUGAGCUGGUAGUACCCCCAGCACGCGAGCCCGGGUCUUCCCGAAGUCGGGUUGCUUGGGAAUGCAGCCUAAAGCGGGUUAAGCUCCAUCUAAGGCUACAUAUCGGCAGGAGACCCAUAGUCAACAAGUACCAUAAACGGAAAGUUGAAAAGAACUCUAAAGAAAGAGGAAAACAAACAAAUCCUGGAGGAGAAAGACUGACAGAGGGAACAGAGGAAGUCAGAGAGAGAGAAAGGAAAAGACAGAAGUAGUAAACAGAAAGCAAUGUGCCUUAUUCUUUUAAAGCCAGGGUAAAUGUAAAACUUAAAAUUGUUAAUUGAAGAACUUCUCAGUGAUGGGCUUCUUAAACCCUGUUGUUCCCAAUCCUAUACUAUUAGAAUCACCAGUACUUUACAGUAAUAGGUUUAACAGAUGCCUUCUGGGCUUGUCCAUUGGCAAAAGAAAG